GACGAACCGUGCGAACGUUAUUCGGAAUCACUGGGCUUAAAGCGCGUGUAGGCGGAAGGGCACGUCCGUUGCUGAAAUCCCCCGGCUCAACCGGGGAACGGGCGCGGAUACGACUCUUCUGGAGGGGCGUAGGGGGACCUGGAACUUCCGGUGGAGCGGUGAAAUGCGUUGAGAUCGGAAGGAACGCCCGUGGCGAAAGCGGCGCGCUGGACCUCUUCUGACGCUGAGGCGCGAAAGCCAGGGGAGCAAACGGG
rnacentral:rRNA from 1 species